AGUUAGAAUGCAUCAUGUGACAGACACGCUGACGUCAGUUCCACGCAAGAGGCCACGCAGGCAAUCCCCGUGCCUGUGCGAUCCAACGGGCCAUAUCACAUCUUACGCACACAAACGACUUAGAUAUAUUUUUUAUUCAGACGCGAUCGGACGGAUGGGAUUGAUCGUGAUGAACAGCCCUGAUUCGCACACGUGAUCGACCUAAACAAGUAACGAUCGGAUAGUUCUCUUUGCUCCAUGUCGACUUGAACAGAGGCUUAGAUUGAAUGGAGAAGAGUAUUUAAACUCUUCUUCGUAGGGAACGAAAACUCUAGUCGACAGAGGGGUGACCGGAGAAGAAGAAGAAGAGUGACCAGGAAGUGAACCAG
rnacentral:lncRNA from 1 species